rnacentral:rRNA from 1 species
AGAGUUUGAUUAUGGCUCAGGAUGAACGCUGGCGGCGUGCUUAACACAUGCAAGUCGAACGCUGAAGCUCCCAGCUUGCUGGGGGUGGAUGAGUGGCGAACGGGUGAGUAUCACGUGAGUAACCUGCCCUUGACUCUGGGAUAAGCCCGGGAAACUGGGUCUAAUACUGGAUAGGACUGGCCAUCGCAUGGUGGUUGGUUGAAAGCUUUUGCGGUUUUGGAUGGACUCGCGGCCUAUCAGCUUGUUGGUGGGGUAAUGGCCUACCAAGGCUUUGACGGGUAGCCGGCCUGAGAGGGUGACCGGCCACACUGGGACUGAGACACGGCCCAGACUCCUACGGGAGGCAGCAGUGGGGGAUAUUGCACAAUGGGCGCAAGCCUGGAAUGCAGCGACGCCGCGUGAGGGAUGACGGCCUUCGGGUUGUAAACCUCUUUCAGUUGGGAAGAAGCCUUUCGGGGUGACGGUACCUUCAGAAGAAGCACCGGCUAACUACGUGCCAGCAGCGGC